rnacentral:misc_RNA from 1 species
UGGUUCUGGCAUCGAUGAAGAACGCAGCGAAAUGCGAUAAGUAAUGUGAAUUGCAGAAUUCAGUGAAUCAUCGAAUCUUUGAACGCACAUUGCGCCCGCCAGUAUUCUGGCGGGCAUGCCUGUUCGAGCGUCAUUUCAACCCUCAGGCCCCCCGUUUUCGGGGCGGACUGGUGUUGGGGAUCGGCCCCCCUCGCGGAGGCCGGCCCCGAAAUUCAGUGGCGGUCUCGCCGCAGCCUCCCCUGCGUAGUAGCACACCUCGCACCGGAGAGCGGCGUGGCCAUGCCGUGAAACCCCCACUUUUUCAGGUUGACCUCGAAUCAGGUAGGAAUACCCGCUGA